GCAGCUGCGCAUGCGCCUUUCGAACCCACCUCCCUCCUCCACACAAGGGCACAGCAGAGAGAGGCGAGAGCACGUGCGGGAAGCAGACUGCACAACUCAAUCACCUAAAGAAGUCAGACAAUUACUGUGCUCUUCAAACAAGCAAUCAGUGGCAACUCAAGGCUGUUAUACAAAGCUUUCAACAAGCACUGUAAAAGUAAAGACACUUUAACGGACAAAUAUGUUAGCCAGCAACUACAGCCACUGAAGAUGGCAGGCUAUGGCAGAAUCGGUAUAUGGAUGGGAAACCUCAAAGGAAAAUCCAUUUUAAACAAACUUAUUAUUUGGAUAUCAAAUUCCAGUUUGGUGUGUGGUUUCAAUGGGAUGUUAUAUACUUAAUUUCCUUUCUUAAGUUGUUGGAUCGUGUUAUGAUGCGUUGUCAACCAGUUGCCCUGUUUCACCCCAGAGCUGGUUGCAUUUGAAUGUAUAAGUAUAAGGCAGUGUGGUCCAAUGGCUGGGCCAUGAUUGGGACUCAGGAGAGAUGGGGUCUUAUCUUAGCUCUGCCACUAGCCUGCGCUGUGACCUUAGGCAAGUCACUUAACCUGUCUAUGCUUCAGUUUCCUUCAUUGUAAAAGGAGAACAUAGAUCCCACUCUCAGAUCUACAGCUGAAAAGUGCUACAUACGAAUUAAGUAUUGUUAAGGUUGUCACAUGCAUUUAUUUUGUAAAUCUAAGGUAUGUUUCCAUUGGUUCAUAUCAGUAACAAGUGUAAAAUAUUGGCCUUUUA